AGUGAGCAGCAAGGAACAAUAGGCCCAAGUGAAGCCACAGUGAUGGAUCUUAUUGCAAACCACAGCUUUAAAAAUUCCCCAUUAAAUGCCAAGAUUCUUCACGGAGGGAAGGAACUAAGAUGCCUAUUGAUAAAUACAGACAUUGGAUGACCUCAUCGCCUCUGUCUCCCUCUACCCGCCAGAGUGUCUCUCCGGGUCCCUGGGUAAUUGUGACACUAACAGACUUCUUUGUGGACCAGUCAUUAAUUUUAAUUUAAAAAUUCUUGGAACUGCAUCUGAACUCAAAGGAUUCGACCAAGAAUUAUUGAGGGGUAAAUGGAGAGUCAUGCAGAAGUGACCUUGGUUUCUGAUCUUCACGCCAGAGCCAGAUGUCCUGAUUAAGGAGCAAAUGAAGUUUGGGAAAGAGCCAACUGAUAGAAGAUGCUUCUGUUGGACCAGGAGACUUCAAAAAAAAAAAAAAUUAAUCCAAUUUUAUGUAAGUGAUUUCCUCUCCACCUGGUACGGCAGGAAAUAUAAUCUCCCGGGAAGGACGGAGUUGAAGAUUUUCCAGUUGCCACUUUUUCCUGUGCUAGAGACAAUUUUACUUCAAAGGCAUAGACUAGGGGGAAGGUCAAUGGAUUUGACUAGCUGGUGUCCUGCACCCUUUCUGAGGAACACCUGUAGGGGGCAGCCCUUCGGGCAAAGAAAGCUUUCCCUGGGCCCUGUCUGCUGGGCUGGAGGGCCCUGUGCUAGCGGCAGGGGUGGGGAGCAUGCCACUGCUCCCCUGGCUGAAUCUAGCACAAAACAGGAUUUGCCAAGCUGUGCUGAAUGACAUUCCAAUGGAAAAUGGAAGAUUCCGGAGUUCCCGUCGUGGUGCAGUGGUUAAUGAAUCCGACUAGGAACCAUGAGGUUGCGGGUUCGAUCCCUGCCCUUGCUCAGUGGGUUAACGAUCCGGCGUUGCCGUGAGCUGUGGUGUAGGUUGCAGACGUGGCUCGGAUCCCGCAUUGCUGUGGCUCUGGCGUAGGCCGGUGGCUACAGCUCCGAUUCAACCCCUAGCCUGGGAACCUCCAUAUGCCGCAGGAGCGGCCCAAGAAAUAGCAACAACAACAACAACAACAACAAAACAACAA
rnacentral:lncRNA from 1 species